ACUGCUCAGUAACACGUAGUCAACAUGCCCAGGGGACGUGGAUAACCUCGGGAAACUGAGGAUAAACCGCGAUAGGCCAAGAUUUCUGGAAUGAAUCAUGGCCGAAACCUACAUGGCCCCUGGAUUGGACUGCGGCCGAUCAGGCUGUUGGUGAGGUAAUGGCCCACCAAACCUGUAACCGGUACGGGCUCUGAGAGGAGGAGCCCGGAGAUGGGCACUGAGACAAGGGCCCAGGCCCUAUGGGGCGCAGCAGGCGCGAAACCUCUGCAAUAGGCGAAAGCUUGACAGGGUUACUCUGAGUGAUGCCCGUUAAGGGCAUCUUUUGGCACUUCUAAAAAUAGUGUAGAAUAAGGGGUGGGCAAGUCUGGUGUCAGCCGCCGCGGUAAUACCAGCACCCCGAGUGGUCGGGACGAUUAUUGGGCCUAAAGCAUCCGUAGCUGGCUGGGCAAGUCCCCUGUUAAAUCCACCGAUUCAAUCGUUGGAGUGCGGGGGAUACUGCUCGGCUAGGGGACGGGAGAGGCCGACGGUAUUUUCGGGGUAGGGGUGAAAUCCUAUAAUCCCGGGAAGACCACCAGUGGCGAAGGCUGUCUGCUAGAACGCGCCCGACGGUGAGGGAUGAAAGCUGGGGUAGCGAAUCGGAUUAGAUACCCGAGUAGUCCCAGCUGUAAACGAUGCAGACUAGGUGUUGGGUUGGCCAAGCGCCGACUCAGUGCCACAGGGAAGCCAUUAAGUCUGCCGCCUGGGAAGUACGGCCGCAAGGCUGAAACUUAAAGGAAUUGGCGGGGGAGCAC
rnacentral:rRNA from 1 species